GGUCACACGGAUGGGAAGAGAAAAGGAAAUGACUGACCUGGAAGUCUGUGCACCAUCUGAGUGAAUACCUAUUGCUCACAGAGGACACCAGAGUUUGAGAUCUCUCAGAACUGGAGUACAGACAGUUGUGAAUCAUCAGCUUGGGUCUAUGUUAACAUCCAUGGUCC